UCCCAGCUCCUCUGCAGGCAGCCUGCCUGCGCGGGCAGACCGCGCUCAUGAGAACCGUGCUCCUGCACCGUGUCUGAACGCCGUGCCCUGCUGAGCUCCCAUCUGGGGGAGCAUGGGGACGUGGGGACCCAUCCCAGUGUCAGCUGGACGCUCUCCAUCGCUGCGAGGACAGCUGCCCAUGCCCACGCGGAGCCGUUCCCCCGCAGAGAGCAACAGGAUGGAGUUUAGUCCCGGUACACCAGGGGCUCCUGAGGAGCUGGUGGAAGUCGCGAGCGAGCAGAUAGCAUCCUGUGGUUUGUGCUGCGCUGGGCCAGGAGCACGCCAGAGUGGAUGGAGGCUGCACGGCUGGCAGAGGAGAAUGCAAAGCAGAGCUGGAGUCUGAGUUUGUCCCCACAGUUGAAGCCUGAACCUGCCCUUGUCUCAGGGAGGUUGAAAACAAGUCUGCCCUGAGACCACAUGAAAGCACACAAGCCUGUA